UACGUAGGGUGCGAGCGUUGUCCGGAAUUAUUGGGCGUAAAGGGCUCGUAGGCGGUCUGUUGCGUCGGGAGUGAAAACUCAGGGCUUAACCCUGAGCCUGCUUCCGAUACGGGCAGACUAGAGGUAUGCAGGGGAGAACGGAAUUCCUGGUGUAGCGGUGAAAUGCGCAGAUAUCAGGAGGAACACCGGUGGCGAAAGCGACUCUCUGGACGGCAACUGACGCUGAGGAGCGAAAGCGUGGGGAGCGAACAGG
rnacentral:rRNA from 1 species